UACAGAGGUCUCAAGCGUUGUUCGGAUUCAUUGGGCGUAAAGGGUGUGUAGGUGGCGCGCUAAGUCGGGUGUGAAAUUUCGGAGCUUAACUCCGAAACUGCAUUCGAUACUGGCGUGCUUGAGGACUGGAGAGGAGACUGGAAUUCAUGGUGUAGCAGUGAAAUGCGUAGAGAUCAUGAGGAAGACCAGUGGCGAGGGCGGGUCUCUGGACAGUUCCUGACACUGAGACACGAAGGCCAGGGGAGCAAACGGG
rnacentral:rRNA from 1 species